CUUACCAUGCAGUCGACGGCAGCACGGGUGCUUGCACCUGGUGGCGAGUGGCGAACGGGUGUAGUAAUACAUCGGAACAUGUCCUGUAGUGGGGGAUAGCCCGGCGAAAGCCGGAUUAAUACCGCAUACGAUCUACGGAUGAAAGCGGGGGACCUUCGGGCCUCGCGCUAUAGGGUUGGCCGAUGGCUGAUUAGCUAGUUGGUGGGGUAAAGGCCUACCAAGGCGACGAUCAGUAGCUGGUCUGAGAGGACGACCAGCCACACUGGGACUGAGACACGGCCCAGACUCCUACGGGAGGCAGCAGUGGGGAAUUUUGGACAAUGGGCGAAAGCCUGAUCCAGCAAUGCCGCGUGUGUGAAGAAGGCCUUCGGGUUGUAAAGCACUUUUGUCCGGAAAGAAAUCCUUGGUUCUAAUAUAGCCGGGGGAUGACGGUACCGGAAGAAUAAGCACCGGCUAACUACGUGCCAGCAGCCGCGGUAAUACGUAGGGUGCAAGCGUUAAUCGGAAUUACUGGGCGUAAAGCGUGCGCAGGCGGUUUGUUAAGACCGAUGUGAAAUCCCCGGGCUCAACCUGGGAACUGCAUUGGUGACUGGCAAGCUAGAGUAUGGCAGAGGGGGGUAGAAUUCCACGUGUAGCAGUGAAAUGCGUAGAGAUGUGGAGGAAUACCGAUGGCGAAUGCAGCCCCCUGGGCCAAUACUGACGCUCAUGCACGAAAGCGUGGGGAGCAAACAGGAUUAGAUACCCUGAUAGUCCACGCCCUAAACGAUGUCAACUAGGUUGUUGGGGAUUCAUUUCCUUAGUAACGUAGCUAA
rnacentral:rRNA from 1 species